rnacentral:rRNA from 1 species
UACGAAGGGGGCUAGCGUUGUUCGGAUUCAUUGGGCGUAAAGGGUGCGUAGGUGGCGCGGUAAGUCGGGUGUGAAAUUUCGGAGCUUAACUCCGAAACUGCAUUUGAUACUGCGGUGCUUGAGGACUGGAGAGGAGACUGGAAUUUAUGGUGUAGCAGUGAAAUGCGUAGAUAUCAUAAGGAAGACCAGUGGCGAAGGCGGGUCUCUGGACAGUUCCUGACACUGAGGCACGAAGGCCAGGGGAGCAAACGGGG